rfam:Sorghum bicolor cultivar BTx623 chromosome 7, whole genome shotgun sequence.
UGUUUGCCGUGAGGACUCCUACUAGGAUGGUAUCUGAAGGGGUUAGCUUUUAAGUGUAUUCCUCCUCUGAUUAUACCAAUACUGAAUAUGGUUUCUGAGCAAAAC